CACACAUCAUAUUCAGUCUCUUAAGCAAUCAAAUGAAGCACUAUGUCAUGCUAAAUAAAGUUUAGGGUCAACCACUGAUUUAAUCAUAUGGUAUAUCACUCCUAGAGGUAACUAAAACGUAAGGAAUAAUUGAGCUUAUGGUAACUGGAUUGUUCAUUGGAAGAUACUGGACUGUUCAUGCUAAUGGUAACUGCAGCGCGUGCAAUUAUUUUGGUACAUUCAGGAUUAACAAGUGCCAAUUUGGUUGUCUCCAACCGACUCAACAAUGGUAUCAUGUUCCUCGGUAUUGGCUCAAGCCCUACCAAAAUUUGUUGGUGGUAUUUGAGGAGCUUGCUGGCGAUGGUACAAAGAUUGAUCUU